UUGGCCUACGGGGGGCAGCAGCCGCGGUAAUACGGAGGAUGCGAGCGUUAUCCGGAUUUAUUGGGUUUAAAGGGUGCGUAGGCGGAAGAUCAAGUCAGCGGUAAAAUUGAGAGGCUCAACCUCUUCGAGCCGUUGAAACUGGUUUUCUUGAGUGAGCGAGAAGUAUGCGGAAUGCGUGGUGUAGCGGUGAAAUGCAUAGUUAUCACGCAGAACUCCGAUUGCGAAGGCAGCAUACCGGCGCUCAACUGACGCUCAUGCACGAAAGUGUGGGUAUCGAACAGGAUUAGAUACCCCUGUAGUCCAAG
rnacentral:rRNA from 1 species